rnacentral:misc_RNA from 1 species
GCCCAAUGGAACUACAUAUGGAUUAGCUAUGGAGGUAAUGUUGCAUUCUGGCAAGUACAACCUUGUCCAUGAGUUAUUUAGGAAAAUGAACCGAAGUGGAGAAGCUCCGAAAGCACUUACAUAUAAAGUUCUUAUCAGAGCUUUUUGGGAGGAAGGUAAAGUCAAUGAAGCAGUGGAAGUAGUGAGAGAUAUGGAACAAAGAG